CACGCCGUAAACGAUGGAUACUAGCUGUUGGAGGUAUCGACCCCUCCAGUAGCGAAGCUAACGCGUUAAGUAUCCCGCCUGUGGAGUACGGCCGCAAGGCUAAAACAUAAAGGAAUUGACGGGGAGCCGCACAAGCGGUGGAUUAUGUUCUUUAAUUCGAUGAUAACCGAUGAACCUUACCAGGGUUUGACAUCCAGGGAAUUCUUGUGAAAGCAGGAAGUGCCUUUUGGAACCCUGUGACAGGUGA
rnacentral:rRNA from 1 species